UGGCUUCUGGUCUAUACACUUCCUUUUUCCGGCAAAACUUUGUCUUCUCCAAAAUCCAAUAAAAAGAUGGUGCAUAGCGCCUAUGAUUCCUUCGAGCUCCUCCACAACUCCACCGCCAAAAUCGACGCCGUCGAAUCCUACGGCCACAACCUCCUUCUAUCCUGCUCCGACGGCUCCCUCCGCAUUUACUGCCCUGAGUCCUCCGCCAACGACCCCCGAUCUCCGACGCCGUCCUCCGAUUUAUAUCUACAGUACCCCGAGCUGAGGAAGGAGCCUUACGUCCUCGAGCGGACGAUCAAUGGAUUCUCUAGGAGGCCUAUGCUCGCCAUGGAGUUCCUCAAGUCGCGGGAGCUCCUCCUCUCGCUCUCGGAGUCGAUCGCCUUUCACCGGCUCCCCAAUUUCGAGACUCUCGCCGUGAUCACGAAGGCCAAGGGCGCCAACGCCUACUCUUGGGAUGAGAGGCGCGGAUUUCUCUGCUUUGCGCGCCAGAGGAGGGUUUGCAUCUUCAGACACGAUGGGGGGCGGGGUUUCGUAGAGGUAAAAGAUUUUGGUGUUCCCGAUUCAGUCAAAUCAAUGUCAUGGUGUGGUGAGAAUAUAUGUCUGGGGAUCCGAAAGGAGUAUGUGAUAUUAAAUUCCACAAAUGGUGUGUUGUCUGAGGUGUUCCCCUCUGGAAGGAUUGCUUCGCCUUUGGUCGUAUCUCUUCCAUCAGGGGAGCUUCUUCUUGGGAAGGAUAAUAUUGGAGUGUUUGUCGACCAAAAUGGAAAACUUCUUCAGGAAGGCAGGAUUUGCUGGUCAGAGGCUCCUGCAGCAGUUGUUGUCGAAAAGCCAUAUGCAGUAGGUCUUCUACCAAGACAUAUUGAGAUACGGUCCCUUCGUGAUCCUUAUCCACUGAUCCAGACCGUUGUUCUCCGGAAUGUUCGUCGGAUCCUCCAGAGUGCCCAUGUUAUAGUUGUUGCAUUAGAGAGUUCCGUUUAUGGCUUCUUUCCUGUUCCUAUCGGGGCACAGAUUGUACAACUAACAGCUUCAGGCAACUUUGAGGAAGCACUGGCUUUGUGCAAGCUACUUCCUCCAGAAGAUUCAAACCUCCGAGCCGCAAAGGAGCAGUCAAUUCAUAUUAGAUAUGCUCACUAUUUAUUUGAGAAUGGGGACUAUGAGGAGGCAAUGGAACAUUUUUAUGCAUCUCAAGUGGAAAUCAAUUAUGUGCUUUCUUUGUAUCCAUCAAUCGUUCUUCCCAAAUCAUCUGUUAUACCUGACCCUGAGCAAUAUAUGGAUGUUGGUGGAGAUGCUCCAGUUCUAUCAAGAGGUUCCUCAAGCUUGUCCGAUGACAUGGAAUCUUCACUUCCUCUUCAUGCCCUAGAUUCUGAGGAAAGAACAGAUCUUGAAUCCAGGAAAAUGAACCACAAUACUCUGAUGGCUCUCAUUAAGUUCUUGCAGAGGAAAAGAUUUAUUAUUGUUGAAAAAGCUGCUGCAGAAGGAACUGAGGAGGCUGUUUCAGAUGCCGUAGGACAUAAUUUUGUUUCUUAUGGUAGUGGUCGGCCAAGGAAAACGGGAAAGGCUCAAGCCAAUGUAUCUAUCAGCUCAGUUGCUAGGGACACUGCAGCCAUACUUGAUACAGCAUUACUCCAGGCCCUUCUAUUGACAGGACAAACUUCAGCUGCUUUGGAACUACUUAGGGGUCUCAAUUAUUGUGACUUAAGGAUAUGUGAGGAGUUUUUGCAGGAAAGGAAUCAGCAUGCCUGUCUGCUAGAACUGUAUAAAUGUAAUGCCAUGCAUCAUGAAGCACUAAAUCUUCUGCACAAAUUGGUGGAAGACUCAAACUCAGACAACCCACCAGCUGAACUUGGACAGAAGUUUAAGCCUGAAAUGAUUAUUGAUUAUCUUAAACCUCUCUGUGGUACAGAUCCGAUACUUGUCCUGGAAUUUUCUAUGCUCGUCCUUGAAAGCUGCCCCUCACAAACUAUUGAGCUGUUCUUGUCUGGAAAUAUUCAAGCAGACUUAGUGAACUCUUAUCUGAAACAGCAUGCUCCAAAUAUGCAGACUACAUAUUUGGAACUUAUGCUUGCAAUGAAUGAGAGCAGUGUCUCCGGGAACCUCCAGAAUGAAAUGAUGCAAAUAUACCUGUCAGAAGUGCUUGAUUGGUACAAAGAUCUUAAUUCUCAACAAAAGUGGGACGAGAAAGCUUUUUCUCCUACAAGGAAGAAGCUGUUGUCUGCUUUGGAGGGUAUCUCUGGGUACAACCCUGAGGUUUUGUUGAAGCGUCUUCCGCCAGAUGCCUUGUAUGAAGAGCGGGCAAUUUUGUUGGGAAAGAUGAACCAACAUGAGCUUGCUCUUUCGAUUUAUGUUCACAAGCUUAAUGUUCCUGAAUUGGCGUUGUCCUACUGUGAUCGGAUAUAUGAAUCGGGACCUCUACACUCAGGGAAAUCUCAUGGAAACAUUUACCUUAUUCUACUACAAAUAUAUCUGAAUCCUCAGAGGACUACGAAAAACUUUGAAAAGAGAAUUACUAGCUUGACAUCCAACCGAAGUUCUGCAUUCCACAAGGUUGUUCAUGUGGCUGUUAAAAAUAAAGGUCGCCUGUCAAAAAAGAUUGCGCAAAUUGAGGGUGCUGCGGAGACACGUAUCAGCCAAAGUGGCACUGACAGUGGAAAAAGUGAUUAUGAUACUGACGAUGCCAAUGAUAAUGAGGAAGGAACUUCUACCAUUAUGCUCGAUAAGGUUCUUGAUUUGUUGGGCCAAAGAUGGGAUCGAAUAAAUGGAGCUCAGGCUCUAAGACUGCUUCCUAGGGAAACUAAGCUGAAGAAUCUACUUCCUUUCCUUGGACCUCUUUUAAGAAAAUCCAGCGAAGUAUACAGGAAUUUUUCAGUCAUAAAGAGCCUUAGAGAGAGUGAGAACCUACAGGUCAAAGAAGAUCUCUAUAGCCAAAGGAAGAAUGCAGUGAAGAUUAGUGGUGAUAGUAUGUGUUCGCUUUGCAACAAAAAAAUAGGAACCAGCGUGUUUGCAGUUUAUCCAAAUGGAAAGACACUUGUCCAUUUCGUAUGCUUCAAAGAUUCACAGAGUAUGAAGACUGGGGGAAAAGGCGCACGCUCACCGUUCCAAGUUAGAUGACACUGAUUUGAGAUUUGUUGGGUUGUGUACCUAUCCAGAGUGCUUGGACAUAGCCCAUUUCAAAAACUUACCUCAGUUGAGAGUCUCGAUAAGCAAAGGAGGAGCAUACUGAGCAGUUCCUUGGUGUUCGUCCGAGUCCUGACAGAACGAAAGGAUCAUCGUGUCGAUAGACAUCUCCACCACUCCGAAGAACAGAGUCGCCACUAUGUAACCGAACCCCCAGCAAACCUGUACAAUCAACUUCAUCAGUAACGGGGCGUUUACUUUUGAUUAUUUCUCUCAUUUAAGAUCAAAAUUCACAAUCA